rnacentral:snoRNA from 1 species
GGUUUAUGAUGAUAAGUUGUAGGGCUUGUUUCUCAAAACAUUCGCAGUGGCCACCUGAGAGCUUUCGCUUUUCUCCGGGCUUGAGAGUAUGUGCUGCUUUUAUCCUUCCUUGGAUGUCUGAGACC